rnacentral:tRNA from 1 species
GCCGAGGUAGCUUAGCCCGGGAGAGCGCUAGACUGAAGAUCUAGUUGCCGGGAGUUCAAGUCUCCCCCUCGGCACCA